AUGAUUUUUACUAUAGUUCAAUGCAACAAAAUUAUAUUUUAUAUAAUAUCCACUAUAUCUAGCUUGGUAUGCUUCCAUCCUCUUUCUUAUGGAAUGGCCUAUUUCCACUUUCCAGCUAUCACGAUGCUCCUCCCGCGUUCGUGCUUUUGUUUAAUAAUUCUUAUAGAAUGUGAGUUUACAUGCCAAUCAAUCGGUGGCUUCAAGUGUGGCGUGGGUUUCAAGAAAAAUCUCCAUAUACUAAACCAGAAUGAUGGAAAAUAUAUAUUUGUAAUUUUAUUAAAUAAUGAUAUGCAUAUAAUAUUUGUCAUGUGGGAAAGUGAGUUUUAA
rnacentral:rRNA from 1 species